CAAGCCUCAUGUUUUGCUGUCAACAAGAUAAACGGUCAGUGCUUAGAAAAUUAGACAUUUAAAACAGAAAGAGGAAAGAGUUGAUAGAGAAGCAAAAAUCAUAAGGAAAAGGUAGAAAUCAGAAGACAACUUACUUGAUUUGGACAUGCACGUCUGGUGAAUGGGGACCACUUCAAGUGGUUUUCCCUCUUUUCCUCUCAGUUAUGCUUUUCUAUAUUCUUCAAUCACAACCCUCUUACACCUUAAUAGCAGGCAACCCAAAACAACAACCUAAAAAAAGAAAAAAUGAAGCCAAGAAGAAAAUUUUCUAAUACUGUAAACUCAACCCCUAAUAUUCAUGCAUGAAAUUCACUAGUUGCAAAGAAAACAAAAUCUUUAAUAAAAAUGGCAGAGAGAAGGAGAAGCAAACCCACGUUGAUGACUGUGAAAUUCUCCUUCUGGAGGCGAUAGAGUACACAGACUUUGGAACUUCUCGUCCCACUCAGCGACCCCGUUGUCCCGUCCAAAAAAACUCCACUUCUUUGGUGAAAUUCCU
rnacentral:misc_RNA from 1 species